GGCGGGAUAGCUCAGUUGGUUAGAGCGUCGGAUUCAUAAUCCGGAGGUCGGGGGAUCGUGGCCCCCUCCCGCUA
rnacentral:tRNA from 1 species